rnacentral:lncRNA from 1 species
GGAGCAGUCCGCCGCCUCCCUCCGAGCGCAGGACGCUCCGACGCCCGCUUGCCCGCAGGCCACCGCAGCCUAAGGUGUGGGGAAGGCUCCCUCUCUGGAGGAGCAGGUCGGAAGACCUCGGUGCAAAAGCAGGGACCCCCUGGCUGACCCUGUUCUCCCUCUGCAAAAUAAAGACUGGGAAUUACACAGCAAGAUGGCUUUCCCUACUCCAUCGUGGCUAGAGCCUCUGCAAGGGCUGAAGCCCUUUGAUCUUGGCUUCAUUUGGAUACAUUUCAAGGGUGAGCACUGACAAAGAGGACAAGCCAGACUGAAGUCAUAUGGCCUUACAGCUCUGCCUUCAAAGGCAUGUGGGCUCCCCUCCACCACAUUGCUGACCCCUCAUUACAGGAAGUGGGAGUGUAAACUCUACCUCUUCCUUAUGUCCUGUCGGAGGUGGAGCACAGAGCUCUGACUCCAUGCAUAACACACACUCUACCACUGAGAUACAUCCCAAGGCAAUUGACAUUGGAUUGUUGGUGUCUCAUUGUGUGAUGUUGACUUAGGACAUUAUAGGAUCUAUGCAAGCAUC